GUGUCAGCAGCCGCGGUAAUACGGAGGGGGCUAGCGUUAUUCGGAAUUAUUGGGCGUAAAGGGCGUGUAGGCGGCUCUGUGUGUCCCAUGUGAAAGCCCUCGGCUCAACCGGGGAACUGCAUGGGAAACUGCGGAGCUUGAGUCCGGGAGAGGUGAGUGGAAUUCCCAGUGUAGCGGUGAAAUGCGUAGAUAUUGGGAGGAACACCAGUGGCGAAGGCGGCUCACUGGACCGGUACUGACGCUGAGACGCGAAAGCCAGGGGAGCAAACGGGAUUAGAUACCCCGGUAGUCCUGGCUGUAAACGAUGAGCACUUGGUGUGGCGGGUAUCGACCCCUGCCGUGCCGAAGCUAACGCAUUAAGUGCUCCGCCUGGGGAGUACGGCCGCAAGGCUGAA
rnacentral:rRNA from 1 species